CUGGCCCCACACCCACCUGGCCACGCCCCCGGCCCCUCCCUGGUGCAGUCCUAGGAAACCCAGAGGGCCGGGUCUCUGAGACCCGCACGUUUGGGGAGUGAGAUUCCGCAGCAGAUGCACAAUCCUCGUCUCAUUAUAAUGACUUACUUCAGGUGUCUCCAGACCCACUCCCGCCUGCUACGCUGAGCCACAUGCAGACCCGCGUGCAGAGCCCUGCUGCAGUCCCAGAACAAUGGAGUCUUGCUGUGUUGCCCAGGCUGGAGUGCAGUGUUGGAAGAUUGGAACUCUC